rnacentral:misc_RNA from 1 species
GUGAAUUGAUCUAAAUUGUAAAAUUAAUGUUGUGUUUGAAGUUUGUUCUGCUUCCCACAAAUGGGAAAUUCUCAAAUAUGAUUAUAUGAGAGCUUGGAAAUAUCUGGCACCAACAGAGUUCAGAAUUCUCCAACUCAAAGUUGAUUAGGUGUUUCUUAAGGCAACCAACAAAGUGUUAAGUUAUUGAUUUAAUAUUAUGCCCAUCCUGCGUCUGUAGACGUUAUCAUUGAAUAAAUUUAUUGAAAAGGGAACACAUCCAGCAGAGGGACCACAUACAGAGGUUACUGAUUUGCCAAAUCACAGGAAUUAUUGGAUAGGCA